GUGGGGAAUAUUGGACAAUGGGCGAAAGCCUGAUCCAGCCAUGCCGCGUGUGUGAAGAAGGUCUUCGGAUUGUAAAGCACUUUAAGUUGGGAGGAAGGGCAGUAAGUUAAUACCUUGCUGUUUUGACGUUACCGACAGAAUAAGCACCGGCUAACUUCGUGCCAGCAGCCGCGGUAAUACGAAGGGGGCUAGCGUUGUUCGGAAUUACUGGGCGUAAAGCGAGUGUAGGCUGACAUGCAAGUCGGGUGUGAAAUCCCAGGGCUCAACCUUGGAACUGCACUCGAAACUGCACGUCUUCAGUACUGGAGAGGGAAGCGGAAUUCCGGGUGUAGAGGUGAAAUUCGUAGAUAUCCGGAGGAACACCAGUGGCGAAGGCGGCUUCCUGGACAGUAACUGACGCUGAGACGCGAAAGCGUGGGGAGCAAACAGGAUUAGAAACCCCGGUAGUCC
rnacentral:rRNA from 1 species